rnacentral:lncRNA from 1 species
AGAGAAGUUUAGUCACUGUGAGAAGUUUGAUAUGUAAUGAAAGAGAAGACUUAAGUACAUGGAGAGGUAAAACGGGUUACAAACCAAAAUUUUCAACUUGUGAGACUUGGGACAAAUUACGAGAGGUAAAUGAGAAGCAGAUGUGGGCUAAAGGGGUUUGGUUCUCUAUGGCGACUCCGAAAUUUGCAUUCAUAGUCUGGUUGGCUAUGAAGAAUAGAUUAUCUACUAUGGAUAGAAUCGCAAAAUGGAGCCAAGGAGUAGACAC